UGGAGGGGUAGGGGUCGCCUUGGUCGGUGAUGGCUCAUUAUGUAAUAGUAUUAUUUUGUUCGCACGUCUUGCUUUCUUGCAUGAGAUGUCCAUUAUCAUCUCACAUGUUUUUCACGUAGAUCUUCAUAACCAUCUUGCUACACAAACUUGGUAAUAUAAAUAAAAUUGGGAACUUGAAACUCCUGAUCUUUAAAUUUACUAUUAGCUAUGAAAGUUUGAUAUCUGUGCAAUUCAAUUGCAGGCAGCAAGAACAAUUGACAAUUCAAGGUUGAGUCGUUGAGUCAUGGAGGAUCUGCUCCAAUUAGUUUUGCUUGCUCUCAGGUAGAUGUUGGCCUUUCAGAAAUGACUUGAAUAACACCAGUGAUCUCUCUGGCUGCGAGUAUGGAACCUCAUGAGAAGCGCCUCUGAUUGUAGCAAAUGACAGGAUGUUGCCAUAAACUUGAGUCCAUCCACCAACCUAAAAGGCAGAAUGGAAUCAAUAUCUGAUAUGAUUUCUCACUAAACAUGCUUGACUAGCUGUGUCUUAUGAGAAAUUCUAUUACCUGUUUUUCUGCAAACCAGGCUUUAUAAGGCGCAGUUGUGUUUAGUCCCAAGUCCUUCGCCAGUCUAUGAACAAGGGUGCGGCUACCAGUCAAUGGAAUAACAGAAUCUUGAUCUCCACUGUAUGAUUUAUGUUAUUAGAAUAUAUAACACCUCAAUAAUCUUAUUAAGGACUGGUUUAAGUUUUGAGUUUACCUGUAAACCAAAACUGGAAUUCCAGCCUUGAUAAGUGAUCCAACAAUAGAGAUUGUGGGUAUCUCUAGGUUGAGCAGCUCAUAAUCCAGAAUGCUAUGAUAAAAAAAAAAAAGCUUAUUUUUUCAAGAAACUUUACUUUUCAUAGCUAAUUAAAGCACCAGAUGGCAAUGCAAAAUUCUGUUUUGAAAAUUUCAGGAAAACUUUACAGAC